ACUGUAUGCAAAUCAAGUUCAAAAGCCACAUUAGUCUUCAUUCAGUGACUUGAACUUCUAGGUUUUUUUUUUUUUUUUUUAGUUUUGUGAUCACUUUCAAAAUUAUGGUAAAUUUAAGCUCAAUAAUUUUUUUCACUGUGCCAACAGUAAUAACAGAGGAGAGUGUCUCUUAGGUGGUGACAUGCUGUCAUCUGUCUUGCUGUGAGCCCUUUUUUCUAUCCGUGACAUUUCACUGAUGUUUGGAAUUAGAAAUGUCUUUGAAAUUUUGCUGUGAAAAAUUUGCAAGUUUUUAAAAUUUUCACAGUAUAGGAUCAAGCAGACCUUUGUUUUGACAUCCCCGGUUAUUCCUUUCCUAGGCUUUCCUCUCUGGACAGCCACCUGUCUCUCUGUCUGCUAUUUUCAAUGGCAACUGUAAUCACUGCAUCUGUACGUGGUCAGGAUCUAUCUCUGCUCUGUUUCUCUGACAAUGAUAUCAUGUUCUAACAUGUUAGCCCAUAAUAUUUUUAUGUCAACCAAAAUUUGGCACUUGACUCUGGUGUUAUAUACAGUUGUGUUGGAUUGUGAAGUAAUUUUCUCGUUUUCUUCUUAAGAAAGAUCCGAGCAGGCACAAACUUGGAAGGGAGGAAUAGUUUUAUUGAAAUUCCAUGUACAUUCUCAGGCUGCUAACCCAAGGUCAACACACAGAUAAAACUGUCUUCUAGACCUCUGAAAACACAUUCCAGUUCCAAGGCCGGAGUAUCCACGUAUGGGAUUUGGCAAGUGCCCUAGGGCACCAGCCAACGGCCGGCGGCUGGGGCACAAAAGGGAAAGAGCACUCCUCCCGCUACUGCCACUAUGGUGCUGAAGAGACAGGUCCGCUUCAGUACCAUCAAUGUUUUGGACAGCCAGAGAGCACUUGGCUGCCAGGCGGGGCCACCGACACACACACGUCAAACGGCUAAUGAUCAGUGUGGCCACUCUCCACCAUCUAGCAGCCAACGAGAGAGUAUAAAAGGGCCAUCCUCUGCUAGCAAAGGGAGAGAGGGCUCCCGAGGCAUGCAUAAUAAUUUGUUUUGUGUUUCUUGCAGAGGAUUCAGAUGCGACGGAGGAUUUCACCCGGAUACCUAUUUUUCAUGCUAUCAGCCAUCGGCCGAUAGUUUAAAUCUAGUUUACAUCUGAUGAUCAGGGCCGAUUAUAUCCUGUCAAUAAAAAGAGGGCGGGAAAACACAUCGAUUUCAUGCUGUGUGUAAAGAAGAUGUCUCUUGUGUGGAACGACAACAAAACUGCAGAUUGUAAUCUCUGUAAGCUCUGCACUGCUAAAAUUUUACACCGGAAAUGAGCAGCAGUGAAGCAGAGGUUUCCGCGUCGAGUCCAGUUUAUUAUUAUUUUUUUAUCCCCGCGCUGUCCGCUCACCCUCGCGCUGAAUUAAAGCUCCAGUACACUGAUAAAAGAUUUAAAUGAAGAUGAGUUGACAAAAAGGUAUAUAUUGCACAGAAAAAUAUAUUUAUAGAGUAGUAUAUUUCAUAUACAGUUAACGUUAAUAUAUAAAAAAGUUUAUAUUAAAUAUUUCCAGUUUGAUGUUCAUUGAUGAAGUAGAAAUGCUUUUGUUUGUGGUGAGUGAAUGUGAGCCUAACAGGAGGUUCUUUUUUAGAAUUCGGUCAAUUAAUUCUGUUAAUAUGAAUUAAUAACAUUCAAUAAGUUACGAUAUCUUACUUUAAUCCUCAGAAUUUAGUUAAUGUGUUAAUGUUAAUUUGAGUAAUGUGUUUUCUGUUUAUGAGACCAGUUACUGUGAAACAGCUUGUUGAAAUGGAGAGAAUAAAGUUUUUAUUUGCAUUUCUUUCAGAAUUCUUUUAAAUGAAUUAUUAUAAUUUAUAAGGAGGCAUAAAAAGCAGAACUAUAGGUAUCGGCCAAUAUCACUCUGAAUAAUCGGUUAUCGUAUUGGCUGAAUUUAGUAAAUGAGUUUACUAAAUUUAGUAUUGGUGCAUCUCUUAUA